GAUUAGGGUAUCUUUCUUUUCGUUCUUCCAGUCUUCUUUCUCGCCGUCAACGGUUAACUUAAUCUGCAAACCCAAAGAUUUCUCCUUCCAUCUCUUGACCUCCCCUAAUCAUUCAACGUCUUCUUAAUUUCGUCUCCUCUUCUCUUAACCUCCCCUGUCGUUCAAUGUAUCUUAAUUUCGACCUCUUCGGAUCCUUCAUGUCAAAUCUAUAAAUUAAAGAGGGUUGAGACUAGGAUGAAUCUUCAGAACCACUUUCAGUUAUUCAUUUUUAUCAAGGGUAGAAAGAUGGCUUCCUCCGAUGUUGUUGCGCACUCCGCCUUUGAUGCUCUUCGUCUCGGUAAAUCUACCCAGUCAUUGUUGCUCGGCUGCUUCGUUUUUUGGACUCAAAAACCAUCAAGAAGCAAGCUAAAUUCAUGGAAAUCAUUCUACUUCUCCCUGAUGAGAAGAUGACAUUCAUCAUGCGGAGAGUGGCGCUAAUGGAUGAGAGGUCAUUAUGAGUGGAAAGCUCCAUGCUCAAAAGGUGCCAAGUCCAUGAAAUUCAAGGUCGGUUACAUGGUUUCCUCCGGUCAACUAACCAAGUAGUACAUCGAAUCUGUAGUUAAACAUGUUCUGUUUAUACAUGUGACUAGGGUCUGCUUGGAAUCAAGGUUAAGGUCCUGCUUGACUGGGACCCUAUUACGAAGCUAGGACCAAUGACACCAUUACACGAUCUUGUGAUCAUCCAUGCUCCCAAGGGAAAAGAUGUUAACUCCGCAGCUGCUCAGGUUGUUACUUUGGCUGCUCUUCUACUGAAAGCUCCACUCACAGCCGUAGAGUACCCUGAGAUGAUCUCAGUCGUCUAGAAGAGAUGGCGUCAGGAAAGCCUCAUGUUCUUCCUAAAAAGCAACAUUUCUAUGGAGAGAACUUAUUCUAUAUGUUGGAUUCAAUGGAAGUAUCAUUUUUGUAGGCCUAUUUUGUUAAAGGUAUAUUUACCAAGCCUGUUACGGUAAAGAGCAUUAACAGAAGAGGGUUCAUUCAUCACAACAUCCUUGAGUUUGAAUUUUACAGUUUCAAAAAGCCAUACCAAAGAUGAUGAGGGUUAAAUAAGAGGGCUAAUGGAUGGGCAAGUCUGAUGGUGAGGGCCACUGAGUUGAGCAUUCCAGGAAACCGGAAAACUCCUCGCUUGGUAUCUCUUUUUGUCAUCCGCCUUAAGACGCAAAGCAAGUGGAAAGAGGCACAAAAGUUAUUCAAUACCAGGAGAUUAAAAAGUCACAAGUGGUGGUUAGAGUUCUUUUUCUUUUUACAGUUGUGAUCUGUGGGAUCAUUAUGGUUCACCCUGCUGGGCUGAGGGAGAAGCUAUCUUCAGAUAUGUGAUUUUGUUAUCUCUGAAAUUUUGCCAUUGUUGAGAUAACGUGUGACCUUCGUAGAUGUUAUGAAAAUAUUUUUAUUGUUGUUUUGCACA